UACGUAGGGGGCAAGCGUUGUCCGGAUUUAUUGGGCGUAAAGAGCGUGUAGGCGGCUUUACAGGUCCGUUGUGAAAACUCGAGGCUCAACCUCGAGACGCCGGUGGAAACCGUAAAGCUAGAGUCCGGAAGAGGAGAGUGGAAUUCCUGGUGUAGCGGUGAAAUGCGCAGAUAUCAGGAGGAACACCCGUGGCGAAAGCGGUUCUCUGGAACGGUACUGACGCUGAGACGCGAAAGCGUGGGGAGCGAACAGG
rnacentral:rRNA from 1 species